AGUUUAAUAGCACUUCACUUCAAUGAAGACAGAGCUGCGCUACUGUUUUAUACUGUAUGUGACUGGAGGAUGUUCCACAUGGAUGCCUGAAAUGUGCAUGUGUGUUGAUCAGCGUGAAUUGAGGAUUAUCCGACACAAUUCUAUACGAUUGUUGACGUAUUGAACAAUUCCAACAAAUAAGUGGAAGACAACUGAAUAUCUUAAGUUCUUGGCAACUGUCUAAUUCACUGGAAACUUGGAACAACCAACUAGAAGAGAUAUUUGACGCAACUUUUACAUACAGGUAGGCUGAAACAAAAUUAUAGAGGGAAGGACA